GUAUGUAAGUAUCAGACCUAUUGGCCAAGUUAAUUGCUCCUUCUACAGCUGAUACUCCGUGGGUAGCUUUUGUCCCACAGUUUAGUGCAGUCAGUGACGUCUGGUUUUAGUUAUUUUGCUAUUGCUUCUGCCCUGUUUCAUUUAUUGCCAGAAGUGGUUUGCCAGAAGAUAUGCAGAUAUAAAAUCUGGAGAGGUCGAAGUUCUCCAUUUUCUGAAUCACAGAUCCCAGAGAGGAUCCAUAUGAUCAAGACCAAGACUGAAGCCCCUUUGAAUAUAACCACUUCAAGCUUCUUCCAAACCCAAGCCAAAGAAAAUGCUUGAACUACAAGCAGCUGGCUUUAAGAACAAACUUUAUUCUGGACUUGAGCUAUCUCAGCAAAGUGUACACCGAAAGCUUUUGCUUAACCUAGGAAACUUUUAUUUUUAAGUGGAAUUGUAGUAGCAUUAAAAGCGUAAAAGUGAGUGAAAUAUAAACAGGUACAGAGAAACUAAGCACUAUGCUGUAGAGUGAAGGGUAAAUAGAUUUCUAGCAGAAUCAGAGUUUAGUUUUUUGGCCAUAGCAGUUUUUCUGCAGCUCUGGAUUACCCUUAAUUUCUCAAAAUAAAUAUUGGGACAGUUGUAAUGGAUAUAGAUAAGUUAAAGGAAAAAAAGUAUUUUCUCUUUGACUGAAAGAACUUUAUAUAGGUGAACAGUUUAGAAAGUUUCACUAAAGAAUUUAAACAUGAAUAUUUGCACUUCUUUAUUAUUCAUCUAAAAAUGAAAGUCCCUGCAUAUUUUUUUUUACCACUUCUAAGAAGAAAGUUUCUGCAUCCACAUCUCAGUCAGAGGCCACAAUUUUUAAUGGCCUCUGAGUCAACAAUUUGAUUCCAUUAAAAUUGUAUGAUAGACUCAGGUGGUGGUAUGAUUACUGUCAUUUUCUGUAAAUGAUGAUGCAGACAGUAACAUGCUCCCUUGUGCUAGCUGAAGAUCCAG
ensembl:lncRNA